rnacentral:tRNA from 1 species
GAGGGUAUAGCUCAGUGGUAGAGUGUAUACUUAGCAUGCCCGAGAUGCUGGGUUCAAUCCCCAGUACCUCA